rnacentral:piRNA from 1 species
UAGGAAAACCCCAAACAAUGGACAAGUGGU